CAGCCGCCGCGGGAAUACAGAGGGUGCGAGCGUUAAUCGGAUUUACUGGGCGUAAAGCGUGUGUAGGUUGUUGUUCAAGUCAGUUGUGAAAUCCCUGGGCUCAACCUGGGAACUGCUUCUGAGACUGAACGACUAGAGUACGGUAGAGGGUGGUGGAAUUUCCGGUGUAGCGGUGAAAUGCGUAGAUAUCGGAAGGAACAUCAAUGGCGAAGGCAGCCACCUGGGCCUGUACUGACACUGAGACACGAAAGCGUGGGGAUCAAACAGGAUUAGAUACCCCCGUAGUCCCUGUCUCUUAUAC
rnacentral:rRNA from 1 species